UACGGGAGGCAGCAGUGGGGAAUCUUCCGCAAUGGACGAAAGUCUGACGGAGCAACGCCGCGUGAGUGAAGAAGGUUUUCGGAUCGUAAAGCUCUUUCGUCAGGGACGAACGUAUUUCUUGUAAAUAAUGAGAGAUAGUGACGGUACCUGAAUAAGAAGCCACGGCUAACUACGUGCCAGCAGCCGCGGUAAUACGUAGGUGGCAAGCGUUGUCCGCCAUUAUUGGGCGUAAAGCGCGCGCAGGCGGGAUAUCAAGUCUGUCUUAAAAGUGCGAGGCUCAACCUCGUGAGGGGACAGAAACUGGUAUUCUUGAGUGUCGGAGAGGAAAGUGGAAUUCCAAGUGUAGCGGUGAAAUGCGUAUUGAUUUGGAAGAACACCAGUGGCGAAGGCGACUUUCUGGACGAUGUCUGACGCUGAGGCGCGAAAGCUAGGGGAGCGAACGGGAUUAGAUACCCCGGUAGUCCUAGCCGUAAACGAUGGGUACUAGGUGUAGGGGGUAUCGACCCCUCCUGUGCCGGAGUUAACGCAAUAAGUACCCCGCCUGGGGAGUACGGCCGCAAGGUUGAAACU
rnacentral:rRNA from 1 species